AGAGUCAUACAGAACAAGCCUGGAGUGACAGGACAAGGUAGAAUAGCUUCAAACUGGGAGGGAGUAGGUUUAGAUUAGAUAUUAGGAAGAAAUUCUUUUCU